rnacentral:rRNA from 1 species
UACGUAGGGGGCAAGCGUUGUCCGGAUUCAUUGGGCGUAAAGAGCUCGUAGGCGGCUUGGCAAGUCGGGUGUGAAAUCUCGGGGCUUAACUCCGAAACUGCAUUCGAUACUGCGGUGCUUGAGGACUGGAGAGGAGACUGGAAUUUACGGUGUAGCAGUGAAAUGCGUAGAGAUCGUAAGGAAGACCAGUGGCGAAGGCGGGUCUCUGGACAGUUCCUGACACUGAGGCACGAAGGCCAGGGGAGCAAACGGG